rnacentral:rRNA from 1 species
GAUGAACGCUCGCGAUAGGCUUAACACAUGCAAGUCGAGGGGCAGCACAAGGUAGCUUGCUAUCUGGGUGGCGACCGGCGCACGGGUGCGUAACGCGUAUGCAACUUGCCCUAUACAGGAGGAUAACCCGUCGAAAGACGGACUAAUACUGCGUAUGCUCACAACUUGGCAUCAAGUGGUGAGGAAAGAAAUUCGGUAUAGGAUAGGCAUGCGUCCCAUUAGCUUGUUGGUGAGGUAACGGCUCACCAAGGCAACGAUGGGUAGGGGAACUGAGAGGUUUAUCCCCCACACUGGUACUGAGACACGGACCAGACUCCUACGGGAGGCAGCAGUGAGGAAUAUUGGCCAAUGGGCGCGAGCCUGAACCAGCCAAGUCGCGUGAAGGAUGACUGUCUUAUGGAUUGUAAACUUCUUUUAUACGGGAAUAACAAGAGUCACGUGUGACUCCCUGCAUGUACCGUAUGAAUAAGCAUCGGCUAACUCCGCG